GUGGGGAAUCUUGCGCAAUGGGCGAAAGCCUGACGCAGCCAUGCCGCGUGAAUGAUGAAGGUCUUAGGAUUGUAAAAUUCUUUCACCGGGGACGAUAAUGACGGUACCCGGAGAAGAAGCUCCGGCUAACUUCGUGCCAGCAGCCGCGGUAAUACGAAGGGGGCUAGCGUUGCUCGGAAUUACUGGGCGUAAAGGGCGCGUAGGCGGACAGCUUAGUCAGAGGUGAAAGCCCAGGGCUCAACCUUGGAAUUGCCUUUGAUACUGGCUGUCUUGAGUUUGGGACGGGUGAGUGGAACUCCGAGUGUAGAGGUGAAAUUCGUAGAUAUUCGGAAGAACACCAGUGGCGAAGGCGACUCACUGGCCCAAUACUGACGCUGAGGCGCGAAAGCGUGGGGAGCAAACAGGAUUAGAAACCCCUGUAGUCC
rnacentral:rRNA from 1 species